AUUGAACGCUGGCGGCAUGCCUUACACAUGCAAGUCGAACGGCAGCAUAGGAGCUUGCUCCUGAUGGCGAGUGGCGAACGGGUGAGUAAUAUAUCGGAACGUGCCCUAGAGUGGGGGAUAACUAGUCGAAAGACUAGCUAAUACCGCAUACGAUCUACGGAUGAAAGUGGGGGAUCGCAAGACCUCAUGCUCCUGGAGCGGCCGAUAUCUCAUUAGCUAGUUGGUGGGGUAAAAGCCUACCACGGCAACGAUCAGUAGCUGGUCUGGGGUGACGCGAGGCCCAACGGGUAUCGAGACACGGCCCAGACUCCUCCGUGAGGCAGCAGUGGUGAAUUUUGGACAAUGGGGGCAACCCUGAUCCAGCAAUGGCGCGUGAGUGAAGAAGGCCUUCGGGUUGUAAAGCUCUUUUGUCAGGGAAGAAACGGUAGUAGCGAAUAACUACUACUAAUGACGGUACCUGAAGAAUAAGCACCGGCUAACUACGUGCCAGCCGCCGCCGUAA
rnacentral:rRNA from 1 species